GGUCUGGUGGUGUAGUUGGUUAUCACGUCAGUCUAACAUGCCGAGCAUCAUAGCAUGUCUCGCCAGUUCACUGAAGGUCUCCGGUUCAAGUCCGGGCUAGAUCA
rnacentral:tRNA from 1 species